rnacentral:rRNA from 1 species
GACGAACGCUGGCGGCGUGCCUAAUACAUGCAAGUCGAGCGGAAGUUGGAGAGCUUGCUCUUCAACUUUAGCGGCGGACGGGUGAGUAACACGUGGGCAACCUGCCCUGCAGAUCGGGAUAACUCCGGGAAACCGGUGCUAAUACCGAAUAGUUUUCGCCACCUCCUGGUGGCGUACGGAAAGACGGUUUCGGCUGUCACUGCAGGAUGGGCCCGCGGCGCAUUAGCUAGUUGGUGGGGUAACGGCCCACCAAGGCGACGAUGCGUAGCCGACGUGAGAGGGUGAUCGGCCACACGGGGACUGAGACACGGCCCAGACUCCUACGGGAGGCAGCAGUAGGGAAUCUUCCGCAAUGGACGAAAGUCUAACGGAGCAACGCCGCGUGAGUGACGAAGGUUUUCGGAUCGUAAAACUCUGUUAUGAGGGAAGAACAAGUACCAAUUAACUACUGGUACCUUGACGGUACCUCACCAGAAAGCCACGGCUAACUACGUGCCAGCAGCCGCCGUAAUAC